GGCCCAGCCCCGUGCGGCGAAAAACCACGAAUCCCGUCAGGUCCGGAAGGAAGCAGCGGUAAGAGGAACUUUUCGGGUGCCACGGCUCUCUGGGUCUCCU
rnacentral:SRP_RNA from 1 species